rnacentral:lncRNA from 1 species
CAGAAAGGGCUCAACACCAAUCAUGUGAAGAUUGAAAACACAUGAUCCCUCAAGAAGAGGCAAAAAGGGCUCAACACCAAUCAUGUUACGAUCUAAAGCUCAAACCAAAUGACGGCUCCUCAAGAAGAGGUAAUGAGCUCAACACGACUGGCAAAAGAGCAAAAGAGAGCACAAAACUCACAAGCUCCCCCUGAACACAUGCACUCCCCCUGAAAACAUGCCACAAUGAAAUGCAUGCAUAAGAGCAAAAGAAUGCAUAUUCCCCCUCAAAUGCAAAACUCUCCAUUAAAUGCAAGAAUCCCCCUUAAAUGCAAACAUAAGAUACGCAUGGAAGCACAAAAUGCAUGCCAUGAGGUGUACAACCUACCAAACUUCUCAAAUAUAUCACAAAGCACUUACAAAGGCUACAAGUGAGAUAUUGCACAGGCAGGUAGAUCAUAAAGAGCAAUUGCAUCGCUAUCAAGAGGAUAUGAUACAAGCAAAAGACGAAGCAAGUUGAUAAAUUUUGCAGUUCAUAAAAGUAUCAUCACAUCAGCAAGCACCUAGUCAUGAGUCACUCAAGCAAGAAGUAAACUAGGCCAUCAGAGCUCAUACAAGGAAAAUACAUUCUCAACAAGAGAUCAUUGUAAACACCCACAUAUGCAUCACAAGUCAUGUCGCAUCCUACACAUGCACAUCACAAGCCAAGAGACACUACACACAAGAUAUGUUUUAUACAAACACCGCAACACAACUCACACCGCCGGUUAGCCGUUAGCAUAAUCAAGUGCAUAUAUGGAAUAUGGACUCAACCGUUAAAGCCUCAAAUCAUCUAGUCAAUCACUCAUCACAAAUAGACCAAGGCACUUCUCAACUUGGUCUCUCAAAAUAGGACGAAUAUCAAUAUUCGAUACAUCUUGGUACUAUAUUCUUAUCCAAAUUCAAUAAAAAAAUAUGUAUUCUAUAUAUCCUUUCAUACUGAUCCAUUUUCAUCCAUAACCGCUGAGCAUGACCAAUAGAGAGAGGCAAUAUAGCAUGGGGUGGAGGAAAGAGACCGCGUACCCAUCUAUAGGGAGCUAAGGCAGAGCAAGGAGGCUAGCCACCCUUGGCAUGUGAACCGAGCUAUGUUCCUUCUCUACUCACACAUUGCCACCUCACUGUUUGUCGAGGUGCAGGCUUCGGUCCUCUACGCAUGUUGAAUAUAGAGGCGGAGAGAGGGAGGUAGGAGAGGAGAAGCAUUUGGUGGAUGAGCACGCCAUGCACAAAGAUGGCGAUGGAAAGGAAGGUAGAGUGGGGUGGUCAUUGACGGUAGGUAGGUGAGGGGUGUAUGAGAAGCAGUGUGCAGGAGAGCAAGAACGAGAUUAAGGGGAAAUGGAUGAGAUCAAGAUAGGGUGGAGAUGAAAAGGAAAAUGGAGUGACACUAAGGGCGUGCUUGGAUCCUUCGCUCGGCACUGUAAUGCCUUGUUGAGCGAGGAUGCAGAACGACUAUAUGAGUUUGGUUUCCUAGCUUGGACAUUGCAAUGUCUGUGUGAGCAAGUUUUGGCUUGCUUCCGCCAGAGAGCAAAAUCGGCUUGCCCUGCCUAGGCAACCCUCUCGUUAUUUGCGCUAGUGAGGCAAGGGGAGGGACCUCCGAAACCAAGUGCACCCUAACAUUGAUCCUACAUGUCUAGGGUAGUAUUUGAGAUGGUUUUCUAUAGUGUGUUGCGCCAAUUGGAUCUAAAAUCAUGGAAAACUUAUUAGGACUCGCCCGAUACCACCUCUUUGGAUGGAGUUUCGUAGGACUGUUGGAAAUGAUCUUCCUUGUUAAUAUGAUAUCAUUGGAACUACCUAAAUAUUUGAAGGAUUAAUAAAAUAUAGUUUUUUACUCUCUUAUCUCGUUCAGCCUCCUCUCCAAAACCAGUGAUGGAUAGGAGUACGCAAAUAUCCUCACCGACAUGUAUGUCACCCAACUUAGAAGGUGGCCAGCCCCAUAUUCUAGACAUACGAGGCACGGUGCAAGAUGGCAUGGACUGUAAGGAGCUUGCUAGACGGAUGGAUAUUAUCUAGACUACUCAGAGCGUAUCUUGUAACCAAAUUCGAUUGAUUUCCUUGUACAAACCAGCUAGGAUUAGAUCCCAUCUGACUUGUAGCCCUAGGUCAUCAACCUAUAUAAGGCAGCAAAGGACCGACUUGUAGGGAAACCAACUCAUAACUUGCCAUUGCUAACCUAACUUUGAUGAGUCAAUCAAUACAAUCCAUAAGAACACACGACGUAGGGUAUUACACCGCCUUGGUGGCCCUAAAUCUAUAUAAACCCUACAUCUUAUGUUACCAUUCGAGUUCUUGGUUUCACAUUCCCCUCUGCCUACAAAUCAAC